GUAUCGAUCAAUCACUUCACCCUAUCCGCCGUCUGCGUUUGCUUAUUUGCUCGCGAGAUGCUUACUCUCGAUCUCCGAUCUGCUUGAUCGUGCUGUCGCACCACCCGCCGACACACGGCCGAGAAGGUCGACUCCGUCGUCUGUCAGAACCCUCCCGUUCGACUUCUUCCAGGAACGAGGCCCUCUGGGUGAAGCUAUUGCUCUCCGGCUGGCGGCGCGCUGCAAGGUCGCAAUCGGGCCGUUUGCCCCAUCGUCGUCUUGGGUGUGCGGUCCGCAAUCCAAGCUUGACAUCCGAGGUUGCAGAUUGCAGGGACUUCUUGGGCAAAUCUCUUCACCGGUAGGUUCGUAUCGGAAGUGAGUAUUCACGUACCAUGUCACCCAAGUCGUCGCGAACGGCAUGGUCGUGAUCGAAACCAUGUCGGUGAUAGGGUUUGGUGCAAUCCGGAGAUUGAUAGGCCACGGCGUGGCUUCCCGCCUUACCUGACGCUCUAUAAGACCUGCAAUCCGGAGGACCACGGCUCCAGAACCGGGUACAUGAUGAGGUUCAACGCCUUGUCCUGAUACCACAAUACUCUGCUCCGGCGGAAGCAUCAUCAAUCCUUUCAAAUGCGGAAAGCUACGAAGUCGAGGAAAGGCAGGCUAAAAGAGAAGAGAAAGGAACGAGAGAACAGCGUGCCCAUCAUAUCUGCUCGCAUCCUGCUGCCUUUGGGCCUGGAUUCCGUUGAUGCAAAGAUUCCUGCUCAGCUGGGAAAGACCAGCCGCUAGUGAACAAAUCCCUCUCUGAUUUCCGCUGAAUUCUUUUAGUAUACGAGAGACACAAAGGAACAGAAAGGAAUGGAGAAAAAGAAAUAUGGUCAACCAACACGGCAAGCAGGUCUCCAUUGGUGGUCGAGCGGGGCCCAAAGGUGCAUCAUUUGGCGGCUGGAGCUCGCCUGUAUCACCCAGACAGGGAACGCGAUGGUCUCUCACACACCUGAGCCCGUUCCUCCGUUGGAUGGUCCGCGAUGGUCAUUGCUUGUCUCGGGCCCAACCACGCAUUUCCCAGUAACAACGGGGGCCAUCAUGGGCUACGGCCAGGCUAAUUUGAAUAGAAUUCGACAUCAUGGCGCACGCGGGCAGACACCUGAAUCCGAAUCGAUCGCCCAGCGCUCGCUUUGCUUUGCAAAGCCUGCUGUCGCGCCCGCUUCGGUGACUUUUUCUCUGCUUUCAAAUUUUUAUUCCGCUCUAGCUUUAUGCAUCCAUUCACAUACACCAUAUGUAGAAAUUUGGAACUCAAUAACGCAUAUAGAGUCGAAGGGACAACAGAACACCAUGCUUUUCCCACCUUUGACCCUUUACAUCGCCAUUAUUUCAAACACUGUAUCACCCGGCAAAACGAAACAAAAGCAGCGGCAGAGGAGAAGUCCUCACUCUCUCUCUCUCGCGCAACAACACCCAGCAAGGCUUAUGAAUGAUGGUCGCGGGAAAGGUGAAGGCCGCCAUGGGGUUCCGUCGCAGCCCCGCCACGCCUAAGAUGGCGACGCCCCGCCGCUCCCCCUCCUCCUCCCCGGUCUCCCAAAAGUCGUCGCCGGCGGCGGAGGGGGGUCAUCAGACGACGACCGCCGCGUUCGCUCGAUCCUUCGGCGUUUACUUCCCCCGCGCCUCCGGCCAGGUCCAGCCCCGCCCGCCCUACGUCGCUGAGCUGCUUCGCCUGGUGGAGGAGCUCCAGGAGGAGGAGUCCCGUCUCCGCACCCAGCUCCUGGAGCAGAAGCUCCUCAGGGAGACCGUCGCCAUCGUGCCCUUCCUCGAGAAGGAGAUCGCCGACAAGCGCGAGGAGCUGGUGCGGGCCGGUGACCGUAUCGAGCGCCUGGAGGGGGAGAACCGGGCCCUGAAGGACGAAGUCGAGGGCUUGAGCUCUGAGAUACGGAGCGGCGAAGAGGAGAACCAGCGGAGGGAGAGGAGGAUCAAUGAUCUCGAAAAAGAGUUGGACGAGCUGAAGAAGGCGGCUUCGGAGCAGCGCAAUGGCGACUCGAGGCGGCUAUGCGCCGGGACAGGGGAGAUGGACGAGUGCUCGUCGUCGCAGAGGUUCCAAGGCCUCAUUGACGCUUCCGCGAGAUCGAAUCUCCUCAAAAGCCUGCGCAAACCACCCAAAUCCGCCAACAUUGUUCCCAAUCAAGAGGUCCAAAGGCCAGAAUGCAGAAAUCCGAAGGCGGAUGGAGGGGUCAUCGAGGGGGUGCAUCAGCAGCCUCACGGCGGCGACAAGGAAGAGGUCUUGAGACCCCGAGCAUCCAGGGUUCCAAAACCCCCGCCCACGCCUUCGAUGUCCUGUAACCCCUCGAACUCAUCUUCUUCGUCGUCUUCUUCCCAUACCACGUCCCGCGUCGCAACAAGCAAAGGCCCCAGCUUGGCGUGCCUCCCGCCGAUCCCGCCGCCAGCCCCACCGGUAAAAUCCACACCGCAAGGCGGAGCGCGGCCACCUCCUCCGCCUCCACCUCCCCCGCCGCCAACGCUGGGGUCCAGGUCGGCGGCAGCAAGCGUGAGGCGGGUGCCGGAGGUGGUGGAAUUCUACCACUCCCUUAUGCGGCGGGACUCCAGGAGGGAGUCCUGCGGCGGAUUGCAGGAGGCGCCUCCCGCCGCCGCAUCCGUCUCCAACGCGCGCGACAUGAUCGGCGAGAUCGAGAACCGCUCCGCGCACCUCCUCGCCAUAAAGACGGACGUGGAGACGCAGGGCGACCUCAUUAGAUUCUUAAUCAAGGAAGUGGAGCACGCGGCGUUCGCCAACGUCGAAGACGUGGUCACCUUCGUCAAAUGGCUCGACGACGAGCUCUCCUUCCUCGUGGACGAGAGAGCGGUGCUGAAGCACUUCGAGUGGCCGGAGCACAAGGCGGACGCCAUGCGCGAGGCGGCCUUCGGCUACUGCGACCUCAAGAAGUUGGAGUCGGAGGCGUCGUCGUUCCGCGACGACCCUCGCCAGCCCUGCUCUUCCUCUCUCAAGAAGAUGCAGUCGCUCUUGGACAAAUUGGAGCGAGGUGUAUACAACCUUUCACGUGCAAGGGAAGCUGCCACGAAGAGGUACAAGGGGUUUGGUAUUCCUUGGGAAUGGAUGCUGGAGAGCGGAUACGUUAACCAGAUCAAGGUAGCAACAGGGAAACUAGCAAUGAAGUACAUGAAAAGAGUCUCUUCCGAGCUGGAGAUCAUAGCAGGCAACCCUGAAGAAGAGGAACUCAUGCUUCAGGGUGUUAGAUUUGCCUUCAGAGUACACCAGUUUGCAGGAGGUUUUGAUGCGGAAACAAUGCGAGCUUUCCAGGAGCUCAAGAACACAGCUCGCACCCUCCACCUACAACUCCAAAAUCACAACCGGCAGAAGCUUUAUUGCAAGUCCACAUCCGGCUGCUAGGCAAUGCACAACCAUGCAUGCGUCUACGCCUGCAAAGGUAGCACAAACCCAUUUGAUCCAUACGACUUCAGCAAUCUAUUCACGUUACCUGAUACAGCACAGAAGCGUAGGCUAUUUGUUGCAAACUAGCAUUCAUUCACUCUCUGAUGUGAGCUCUUUGCGUGCCUAGUUUCCUCCUCUUCCCUACGCGUUCAUUGCCUGCCAUGGAUGGUUUCUUCUCUUUAUCCUUCUGUGUCCCCUCUCCAGGUUUUUACCAGUAGCCAAAUUUGAGGCUUAAAUGUUGAAUUCAACACAGUUCAUCGUCUUCUUGUUCAGAGUACUAACAAACUGUUCAUAGGUGUUUUAGAUCGGAAAUGCAGAUCAAUAUCACCAAGCUCAAGACGAUGAAUGAUGUAGGCUCUCUUGGCUGCUUCUAUUGCCUCCUCUGCCUUCUGUGUCGCCCGCACUCGCCGUGGCGUCCUUCGUCUUCGUCGCUGCCUCCCUCGCGGUCUCGCCGGUACUCACAGCGACAUCCUUGGCCUUCAACGCGGCCUGCUCUGCGUAGUCCAUGGCGGACUCGCCUGCACUCACGGCGGCAUCCUUUGCGACCUCGAGCCCCUGACGGCUCUUUUCGACGGUCGUAUCCUUCACCGAAGAAGCCUGCUGCGCGGCAACCUCCGCCACGGCGUGGGCCUUCUCAGCCGCGUAAUCCUUGGCCAGGGACCCCUUCUCGGUGGUGUACUCAGCGGCAGCACGAGCCCCAUGAGCAGCCCUGUCCUUGGCCUCGGUGCCCAUAGCGGCGGCCCAGAGCCCCGCAGCACCGAGGCCAUGGGCGACGGUGUCUCUGGUCCCGUGGAGGACCCCGGGACCGGCUUGCUUGGCCUUCUCGUACCGCUCCUCGGCCGCCCUGAUGGACUCUACAGAGUUCUGCUGGGCGACGGCGCGGUACCGGCCGAUCUCCUCCGGCGACAUGUACUCUAUCAUGUCUUGCUCAUCCUCUUCAGAAACCACUCUCCGGCGACUGCUCGUAUUUAUUAUUAAGUUAAUGAUGAUCAAAGUAUGAAUAUUGCACGGUGCGGAUCCCUCUCCGUUCAUCAUGCGUUAAGAAGCGUGCAAGGACUCGAUCACAUGCGUGCAUCUAUGUAGUCGAAUCGGCUUGAAGUUAUUUCAAUUCGAUUGGAUUGGAUUCUGAUCACGUGGUCGAGUCGACUCGAAUCGAAUCGAUUUCGACCCGAUUCGAUGCGAUCGGAUCCAGAUUAAGCCCAUCUUCCUUGGCACGUGAGUCGCAGCGGGGAUCCCCAAGUCACAUGUUAAGAAGCGUGCAAGGAUCGGACUCCAUCACAGGCGCGUCGACGUCGUCGAAUCGAUUUUAACCCAAUUCGAUCACGAAUCACGUGAUCGGACGACGCAACUCCUUGGGCAGCCGUCCGAUUCACGAUCCCGUCACGUUGCUCUCAUGUGUUUGUCGUGAUGCCGGAACAAGCAAACGCCGUAAAGCCUCCGCAACAUGAUUCCGUCCUUGCGACCUGUGCACGCCACGGCAGACAAGACAGUUUUCGUCAUCUUCUUCGUAUGAAAGCGUGCCUUGUGAAGCUGUAAUCGGUAGACUGUCAUGUAAGAUGGUCAGCUAAGAAAUGGGAGGAGUACUCUACUCCGUACGCAAGCAAGCAAGCGAACGCAGAUUUCUUUGUGGCUUGCCAAGUCUUUGCAUGAUUUCACCCAUGUGUGCUUUAGACUAUUCGAUUCCUAGAGAUGUUCGAUGCCAAUGACAUGAGAAAUCCAACCUAAACUCUCAUCCGGUGUGCCAUGAAAUAGUCAAAGCAAUAGAAAAGAUUAUUAUACCCACCUCUUCCAACAUAAACCAUAUGCAUACAUAUAUGUCAAGCAUCAUAUGAUAUGUCAGUCUAAAGAAUUGACACCUUCAUCUUUUCCUCCGUAACGAUUUGGAAUCUCGAACGCUUACAGAUCCGUGAGUUGUUGGGUGUAGUUGGAGAGGACUGUAACUUCACGUUGUCGAGCCAUGGAAACUUAGCUGCUAGUCUUCCUUUACCUGAAGGUCACAGGUAGAUGCAUGGAUUGCAACAACAUUUGAGCCAUUCAAACUUCAUCCUUGGCGGGCUGCCUCGUGUGCUCUGCUUGUUGACCGUCAAACCACAUAUCUCAUUCGAUCAUAUUCAAUGAACAGUGAAGUCAAUGUUGUCUAUAAAUUGCCUCUUAUGUUUCGCUUCCUAUACUUUUUAUGCUCUCUCUCUCUCUCUCUCUCUCUCUCUCUCUCUCUUUCCUUGUAUCCCCAUGAGGAAGUUCUUUGGCUGCUUGGCUCAGGAAGCUGAGAGUACCAUGGCUUCCGAGACUGGCAGACGAAAGCUCUCUGUUUUAUGCUCGCCAAGACGCUGGAUUCGUACGUCGAAGAAGCCGAAGAACUCACCAGGGAAGCAGGAAGACGACCGUGAGAAGAAGGGAGCCAUGAGGCUGAAGGUGAUGGUGAGCAAGAAGGAGGCAGCUCAGUUGCUGGCCAUGUACGUCCGCGGCGAGGAGGAGAUGGUGGCCAAGAUCGUGAGCGAGCUGCAAAGAAGAACAGAGGCCGGACAACAAGGAUCGAGCAGUGAUGCGUGGCGACCGAUGCUGGAGAGCAUCCCUGAGGAUUGAUGGAUGGUAGAUACGGAAUGCGGAUCAUGUCAUCCCCACCGGAGGAUAUCGCUGAUGCGCAACGAGAGAGGGAGACGGAGAGAGAUCGCUGCACAGACUACUAGGAACAGUCUUUAUAUCAUCUUCUCUCUUCAUUUGGGUCUGAGAGCUAAUAAGACUACUUGGAGUCUCCACACCAUGUUACCACCCCAGCUGCGUAUACUGCAAGUUAUAGCUUCUGUGCAUGAUGAUUGCUGCAUCUAUGAGCCAUUUUCUAUGCAUUCAGAUGUGAUAUUAAGAA